rnacentral:lncRNA from 1 species
CCUUGCACGAUAUGUUGACUAAUCGGAAUAUUAAUUUGCCUUAUGUUUUAUGUUCGAUUAUUAAGUUCAUUUGAUUAUAUCUGCAGUGAAAAUUCCAUUGAAUAAAUUUCAAUUUAUACAAAACCGCAGUGCAGGUUUCAUCUCGUGUCAAACUUGAGGUAUCAAAUUGCAUACACUUGUUGCAAAAAGAUCCAGUUCGUCUUUCCUUACAACCAUUGGUACAGAUUGCAGUGUUCUCAUCGCAAACAUCAUUCAUACAGUUUAUAGGGUUACAUCCCAAGAGGCACGAACCAUUUCCUGGAUAGCAACGUUGCUCUAUACAACUUUCUG